AACGAACGCUGGCGGCAGGCCUAACACAUGCAAGUCGAACGGGCGUAGCAAUACGUCAGUGGCAGACGGGUGAAUAACACGUGGGAACCUUCCUCGUAGUGCGGAACAACUCAGAGAAACUUGAGCUAAUACCGCAUACGCCCCGGAGCAAUCCGGGGGAAAGAUUUAUCGCUAUGAGACGGGCCCGCGUCCGAUUAGCUAGUUGGUGGGGUAACGGCCUACCAAGGCGACGAUCGGUAGCUGAUCUGAGAGGAUGAUCAGCCACACUGGGACUGAGACACGGCCCAGACUCCUCCGGGAGGCAGCAGUGGGGAAUCUUGGACAAUGGGCGAAAGCCUGAUCCAGCGACGCCGCGUGGGUGAAGAAGGCCUGCGGGUUGUAAAGCCCUUUCGGUGGGGAAGAAAUGCUUCGAGCUAAUACCUCGGGGCUUUGACGUAACCCACAGAAGAAGCACCGGCUAACUC
rnacentral:rRNA from 1 species